GACAGAGGUGGCUAGCGUUGUUCGGUGUCACUGGGCUUAAAGGGUGUGUAGGCGGCUAGACAAGCGCGUUGUGAAAUCCCUCGGCUUAACCGAGGAAUUGCUUCGCGUACUAUCUGGCUUGAGGCAGGUAUGGGUGCGGGGAACUGUUGGUGGAGCGGUGGAAUGCGUAGAUAUCAACAGGAACGCCGGUGGUGAAGACGCUGCACUGGACCUGUCCUGACGCUGAGACACGAAAGCGUGGGGAUCGAACGGG
rnacentral:rRNA from 1 species